rnacentral:rRNA from 1 species
AAUGGGGGAAACCCUGACGCAGCAACGCCGCGUGGGUGAUGAAGGCCUUCGGGUCGUAAAGCUCUGUCUUCAGGGACGAUAAUGACGGUACCUCCGAAGGAAGCACCGGCUAACUCCGUGCCAGCAGCCGCGGUAAUACGGAGGGUGCAAGCGUUGUUCGGAAUUAUUGGGCGUAAAGCGCGUGUAGGCGGUCUUUUAAGUCUGAUGUGAAAGCCCCGGGCUCAACCUGGGAAGUGCAUUGGAAACUGGGAGACUUGAGUACGGGAGAGGAGAGUGGAAUUCCUAGUGUAGGAGUGAAAUCCGUAGAUAUUAGGAGGAACACCGGUGGCGAAGGCGGCUCUCUGGACCGAUACUGACGCUGAGACGCGAAAGCGUGGGUAGCAAA